AAAUCAAUUUUUACAGCAGAUUUGUUAAAAUUGAGGAGAAAGUGCUAAAUAAAAAUUAAUAUUGAUUUUUUGCAAGUUUUUAUCCAUAUCAAAAUGCGAAAGAAAUACGAUUUGCUAAUUUUUGUAGUUUAUAUCAUCUUCUCCAUUAAUUUAUUUGCUCGACCAACAGAAUCGCAAGCGAAUGGUGAAUCUUGUACCUGGCUUGGAGAAAAGCUACCGAUAAUGAAAUGUCUGAACAAUUGUGUUAGUGAAGCGCUCACAUUUCCGCGAGCGACUUGCGACGCAGGAUUAAUUUGUUGCGCGUUCGGGAGGACGUGAUCAAUCAAUAAAAUAUCUAAUAUUAAAAAUUUUGUUAAAUAAAGUUAUAAUUGUGAAGAAAUCCAAGUAAAAAUUGUGUAUUGCUUUCUUCAAA